rnacentral:rRNA from 1 species
CCUACGGGUGGCUGCAGUGAGGAAUAUUGGUCAAUGGCCGGAAGGCUGAACCAGCCAAGCCGCGUGAAGGACGAAGGUGCCAAGCAUUGUAAACUUCUUUUGUCAAGGGACAAAAUCAGGCUCGAGAGCCUGACCGAGGGUACCCGAAGAAAAAGCAUCGGCUAACUCCGUGCCAGCAGCCGCGGUAAUACGGAGGAUGCGAGCGUUAUCCGGAUUUAUUGGGUUUAAAGGGUGCGUAGGCGGACUGGAAAGUCAGCGGUAAAAUCGAGAGGCUCAACCUCUUUCCGCCGUUGAAACUGUCGGUCUUGAGUGGGCGAGAAGUAUGCGGAAUGCGUGGUGUAGCGGUGAAAUGCAUAGAUAUCACGCAGAACUCCGAUUGCGAAGGCAGCAUACCGGCGCCCGACUGACGCUGAGGCACGAAAGCGUGGGUAUCGAACAGGAUUAGAUACCCCAGUAGUC